ensembl:lncRNA
CUCUGCUGUUCCUUAAGUGUGUGGUCUGAAAUGACUGUUCAACGACUGAACCAGUUGGAAAGGAUGGAGACGAUGUUAGAAGAUGGAGUGGACCUAUUUUUGCUACAGGACGCAUAGUUCUGUCUGGCCAAUAGGAUGUUGCAUGUGUACAGGAUGUAUUUUGUCAUUCUGAGCUUGAUGAAAUGAAUGGAAUACAGACAGAAAGUACGAUGGAGCCACUUCUUACCCCUCUAGCAUCAGUUAUAGGUGAUGUGCGUCAACAUGUUACGUGCAUAUCGUCACACGGUUUAAGGACAGAACAUUUCACUCACCCUUCAAACUGUCAUCUGUGACAAAUACAAGUUGUGAAAUCACAGCAUCAUCUAAAGAACGGUGUAAAUGACAGUAAACAAGCUUCAACGUGCAACAACACGGAUCUAUUGAAAAGGUAUUGGACUCAAUUUGACUACGAUCACACAGUAAUAUCCUGACGGACCGUACAUCUUCUAAUCCACCACAAGGACCAAAGGAUCUUCUCAGGCGUCAGUCAGAAAUACAUGAGGAACGCUGUGUGGUGCUGCAGCCAGCGGGGAUGCUGGAUGUGGUUGCUGUGCUGCACUUGUGGUUUGGAAGAACUUGGGUUCACUACCUGCAGAUCCCCACUGUGUGUAUUUAGAAAAGCAGCCUGCUUUAAAAUGAAAGAGUGGGGCGCUGAGGAGAGGACGUGGAGAUGGAUCAAAGGAAGGAUCCUGCUGGAGACAUUUGUAGAAAAGGUUCUCCUGUGUUGUCUCGGUGUUGUUCUUUGGGCCUCCUGCUGCUUUACACCAUGUUCUCCUCUCACACUGGGACCCAUCUGUCCUGCAACAAACACCUGUAGGAGACACUGGAUACCAACCAGAGGACACGUGCCUUUUCAGGAGCACAAAUUCUGUUUUCCAAGC